UACGUAGGGACCAAGCGUUGUUCGGAUUUACUGGGCGUAAAGGGCGCGUAGGCGGCGUGACAAGUCACUUGUGAAAUCUCCGGGCUUAACUCGGAACGGUCAAGUGAUACUGUUGUGCUAGAGUACAGAAGGGGCAAUCGGAAUUCUUGGUGUAGCGGUGAAAUGCGUAGAUAUCAAGAGGAACACCAGAGGCGAAGGCGGAUUGCUGGGCUGAUACUGACGCUGAGGCACGAAAGCGUGGGGAGCAAACAGG
rnacentral:rRNA from 1 species